UUGAAGUGAAAGAAGGCAAGAGCCUCACCUCUGAGCACAGCCAUCUUCAGCAUGGAUGAGCAACAUAAAUGCCAACAGCCCAAGCAAGCUCCUCAGUCCACCAGUCAGAGCAAACAGCAGCAAAAGGACCCUGCAGUUCCUCAAGAGGCAUCAUAUACAUGAUAUACAUUCCAUCUCCCCAGUGAGGCUGUGUUUGCUCAGAACAGACACUUGGUAGCAGCAAGUGCUGGUGCAUCUGGGAAGACAGAAGAGGGCUGAAGGGAGGAGACCACCCACUCGUGCACAAACCACAUUUUGAAAGGAAGCAAACGCUGCAAGACUGAAACACUUCACAUCUUGAGGCUUCAGAGGCUGGUUCCAAGCCAGGCAGAGGAAGCAAGGCUCACCAUUAAAUGUCAAGUUGAAGGAAAACUUCAUACAUCACCUUCCUCAUGGGCUGCCAUUCAGCCAAGAGGAACAGAGAUUAGCCUUCAAUCACACAGGAGCAUGGAGCUGAAGGAAACCUUCCCCUGGACACGCUGGAGAAACAUUUUCAUUAGAGGAGGAGAACCUGACAGAGAUGAAGUGCCCCUUCACCUCGACUGCUGGACCUCUCCCCUGCCUGGCAUGAGCAGGAUUGGGGAGAUGCUAACUGAGGGAGCUGGUGCCAGCUGCAACACUGCAACACUUUUCAGUGCUCUCUGCAUCCAGAUGUGAGGGACAGCUGUGACACAGCACAGCAGCACUUUGAUAGCCUGGUGGGGAUGGCUUUGGUUUUUCCCUGCCUAUCACUGAGCACUCACUGCUGGAAGACAACUGGGUGUCAGCUGAAUGGGAAUGGAUGCUGGGUGGCAAGCCAUGUACCUGAAGGGGCACCUGCACGUGGGCCAGGAAAAGGUGUCUUUGGGUGACAAGGUCCAAGGGUCCUGCAAGACAUUUUGUAGAUGUAACAGGACUGCCUCUGGGGUAGCAGAAGCUGUCCCUGCUCCAUGGAAAGCUGUUCCACAGCCCACCAUCACAAGCAUCUGCUCUCAGUCUGCAUCUUCCGGGGGCAGUCGUGC